rnacentral:rRNA from 1 species
GAUGAACGCUGGCGGCGUGCCUAAUACAUGCAAGUCGAGCGAACAGACUAGGAGCUUGCUCCUCUUACGUUAGCGGCGGACGGGUGAGUAACACGUGGAUAACCUACCUAUAAGACUGGGAUAACUUCGGGAAACCGGAGCUAAUACCGGAUAAUAUAUUUAACCGCAUGGUUCAAUAGUGAAAGACGGUUUUGCUUUCACUUAUAGAUGGAUCCGCGCCGCAUUAGCUAGUUGGUAAGGUAACGGCUUACCAAGGCAACGAUGAGUAGCCGACCUGAGAGGGUGAUAGGCCACAAUGGAACUGAGAAACGGUCCAGACUCCUACGGGAGGCAGCAGUAGGGAAUCUUCCGCAAAGGGCGAAAGCCUGACGGAGCAACGCAGCGUGAGUGAUGAAGGUCUUCGGAUCGUAAAACUCUGUUAUUAGGGAAGAACAAAUGUGUAAGUAACUAUGCAAGUCUUGACGGUACCUAAUCAGAAAGCCACGGCUAACUACGUG